GGUUGCGUGGUGUAAUGGGAACAUCCAGACUGUUUCUCUACGAGCCAGAUCAAGUGAUUAACCCCAAAGAGACUCAAGUGAACAACCUUGGAGGGUGAGGGCUGUAGCAAGCAGCUGAGUACCUGGUUCGAAUCCAGGCGCGGCCA